rnacentral:rRNA from 1 species
GAUGAACGCUGACAGAAUGCUUAACACAUGCAAGUCGAUGGGGAAGUGGUGCUUGCACCAUGGCAACCAUGGCGGACGGGUGAGUAACGCGUAAGGGACUUACCUGCAGGACUGGGAUAACAGGGGGAAACUCCUGACAAGACCGGAUAAUGUCAUGGAGCUGCAUGGCUUUAUGAUGAAAGGAGACGCCUGCGGAGAGCCUUGCGUCCUAUUAGCUAGUUGGUGAGGUAAUGGCUCACCAAGGCGAAGAUAGGUAGCCGGCCUGAGAGGGUGGACGGCCACAAGGGGACUGAGAUACGGCCCUUACUCCUACGGGAGGCAGCAGUGGGGAAUAUUGGACAAUGGGGGCAACCCUGAUCCAGCAAUUCUGUGUGCACGAAGAAGGUUUUCGGAUUGUAAAGUGCUUGCAGCAGGGAAGAAGUAAGUGACGGUACCUGCAGAAGAAGCGACGGCUAAAUACGUG